rnacentral:piRNA from 1 species
UCCGUUCAGUGCUGUCCCAAUGGUCGCUGC